UAACGCGUGGGGAACCUACCCUAUACAGGGGAGUAACAGCUGGAAACGGCUGCUAAUACCGCAUAAGCGCACAGAAUCGCAUGAUUCAGUGUGAAAAGCCCUGGCAGUAUAGGAUGGUCCCGCGUCUGAUUAGCUGGUUGGUGAGGUAACGGCUCACCAAGGCGACGAUCAGUAGCCGGCUUGAGAGAGUGAACGGCCACAUUGGGACUGAGACACGGCCCAA
rnacentral:rRNA from 1 species